rnacentral:lncRNA from 1 species
GUGCCUUUUUCUCACCAUAUUAAAACAAAACCUACAGGAACACAGAGGAUCAAGAUGAGCUGAUUGCUUCCCUGCACCAUCUCCUGUUCAGACAUCUUCCUCCCAGCCAGAACCUAUGGAGGUCUUACAGAAAAUCUGCUAUGAGAGCAGCAUGAAGAUAUUCCUGCUGGUAUUCCACAGAUUCUAAUGAUCCUCAUCAGAGCUUAUUAACCACUUAACUGUAAUCCUGUUGGAAUGUCUCUGCCUCCAGAGCUACUCUUCUUACCAGCUAGGAGAUCUGAGACAAAUCACUCAUUUAUUCACGGGCUUUAGGUAUCCAGUGAUAGGAACGGCAGUGAGAAAGCUGCAGGGAGCUGUGACACUUCUGGGGCAUGCCCAAGCCAGCAAGGGAAGCUGGAGGCAUGGGGUGUUUUUUUGACCCUUGCUCCCACCAUCAAAUACUCCCU